UUUAGAUGCCCGAAAUAAACUCUUUUUACUAUCUUGUGGUUGAUUCUCGACUCUUCGAGUUGAUUAGUCAUCGAGACUUCGCUCGGUUUUUUUUCUUUCACUUUUUCUCCCUAGGCAACGAGGAGAUUAUACUUUCACUUGAAAAUGCUCCGUUAAUGACUUUCGUCAUUGCGAUCAACAAUAACAGCGAUAUAUAGCGGCGGUUCGAUUUAUGGAUAAAUUAAAAAACAAUUCGAGAAGAUCGAGCGAAAGGUAUAUACACGAGAUGAUGCGAGAGAUUUAACGGUUUGACGGUGAAACGAGAAUUGCAUAUUGAUUCGGAUAGUAACAGUUGCACAGAGAAGGCAUUAUAUACAUUACGGUCAAGUCCGGGCUCGUGCGAUGCCCAUCUCUCCUCGUCGUGGCGAGGUGAAAGGAUUAAAUGGGCCAAAAUCAGAAGAAAGGAAGGAAGGGAUCCUCGAUUGUAGAAAAUGACACGGGCGACACACAGAUAUACGUAUAUAGCGAGGAGGAGACCCAUUUAUCGGCGUCCGUAGCCGUAGCUGACCUGUUUGCGCGACACGCCGCUUUUCCCUGGAGAGAAAAAUCCGGCCUGUUCAUCUGAGGCGGAAUGGGACUGGGUGAAAGUCGUUCAGGUGAUUCGAGGGAUGCCGGCCAAAGAUAGACACGAGACAAUGCUCGAUGGCGUUUUAUGUAACAUGGCAACACACGCUACUCCUCGACUUCAUUGGGUCGAUCGUAAACCCCUGAGAAAGAAAUAUACGGUUCGUGAUAAACCGUAAGUUAUAAUUUCCGUUCGGAAAAUGAUAAUAUGGAAAGCGUGCGUGAUGAUAGAAUUUAACUCGUGGAACGAUGAAAUAUUAGAUUUCAUUGAUUAAGAGGAGUUGCGAGAAAAUUAAAAUUGCGUCGAAGCGGUCUUGCAAUCGAGUAAAAUGUCGAGUCAGAAGACAACUGUCAAUUUAAAUGAUCGGCAAGAUUUUUGUAGUGGACAGCGAGAAAUGUCGAUUAACAAUACUAUGUGUGUCGCAUUAUCGCGAUAACCACCUAGCAACAAAGAACACACCGUAUUACCAUGAUAAUAAUAUGUGACGACAUUGUUUACAAUCGAAUCGCAUUACGAUUACAAAGCGUGAGUUAGAAUCUCGUGGAACAGGAUUCGAGACACCCACGUAGAUGCUGAUCACGUGUACGGAACGAUACGAUUCGCAAAUAACGGUGUUGUGCUCGUUGCGACCAGUUAUAUUGCUGUGGGAAGAUAGGUAACGUUCGCGUUACGUGAAUAAGUGUUCGUAAAUUCAUAACGAAGCAGAGAGUGGUUUAGAAAGCGGACACGGAUUGUACAAAAAACCAUAUAACUGUACGAUUGCUCAAUGUUGGUUGAAAGUCGCUGCUUGACUUAUACGUGAAAACAUUCAUUCGCAACGAGCUAGGAAAGACGAACAAAUUUACGGCAAUAACCAUUGCAACGCCUGCUAUUAGAGAAAUCAAAGGAUUAAUCGCGACGAACUCAUCAUCCGCGUUGCUGCUUUUUUGGUCAAGGUAAUCGUAAUGCUUCGCGUGUUAUCAUGUAAAUUUAACUUACUACUACUAAUGAAUGGUUAAGUUUAUGUUAUUGUUAAGAUUGGCGGGAAAGAAGUUAUGGUAAAAAUAUACCAUUCUUAAGCAAACAAAAAUCAUUAAAAGAAAAAAAAAAUUAAUAACGAAGUAGUCAUAAAUUUAACAAAACAAUGUGUAUAUAAUUGAAAAUUUUUAAUCGUAUUUAAUAAUUGGAAUAAAACAAGCUUCUUCGAUGAAAAAAAAAAAAAAUUGAACCUUUUGAAUGCAAAAGCAAAAACAUAACCAACAAAAUGAAAAGUAUGUAUCUGUACUGUAAUGUUUACAUAGAAAAAAGAUAAAAAUAAAAGAAUUUUUUAACUUGGCCGACUUUACGCUUUAAACGAACAAAAGCUAAUAAUAAUUAUAAUAAUUACCUUGAAGUAUCCUCCUUGGUAAAGAGUAUCCGGGGGCCCGAAGAUAGCCACUUCCCACUCAAACAUGUUGUCCUCGUUAACGAGUUUCACGCGGAAUCCCUCGACAGGUUCCUCUUGAAGACUUUUAUAUUCAAGGGCAAGUGCCCUCAGAGCGCUACUCGUUGUUUGUGCCAUAUUUUUUUUCUGGAAGUAGAGUUGCAGUCUGUUCCAGGAAGCGGAACGUCCCAAACCUCCUGAAGUGGUAGCACAGAACACUACAGUCGGACGGACGCCUUUGCGAACACUACUCCUUCUCGUGAGAAUCAAUUUCCAACGGGUUUUCCAGACAAUUUACGGUCUUUACUAUAAUUUUCUUAGCCGUUUCUCAAC
rnacentral:lncRNA from 1 species